rnacentral:snRNA from 1 species
ACAAUUUUUAGGAGCCAAGGCCAUGUGUGUAUCUGUUUUUUGCAGUGUAAUCUCUUUAACGGAGCUGACUUUGGGACAAAUGAAAUGAGUCUUAUUUUUAAAACUGGAACAGAUGAUGUGAGCUCGCUCACCACCGUCCACGAGUCGGUCUUGUAUUGCAUUACCUCGCGGAUCGACUCAUUACUG